rnacentral:rRNA from 1 species
AAUCAACGCUGGCGGCGUGCCUAACACAUGCAAGUCGAACGAUAAAGGGGCGCAAGCUCCGAGUAAAGUGGCGGACGGGUGAGUAACACGUGGGUGAUCUGCCCUCCAGUGGGGGAUAACAUACCGAAAGGUGUGCUAAUACCGCAUGGAGUUCCGGUUGUCGCGAUCGGAAUGAAAGCAGCAAUGCGCUGGAGGAGGAGCCCGCGUCGGAUUAGCUAGUUGGUGGGGUAAUGGCCCACCAAGGCUACGAUCCGUAGCCGGCCUGAGAGGGUGACCGGCCAAACUGGAACUGAGACACGGUCCAGACUCCUACGGGAGGCAGCAGUGGGGAAUUUUGCGCAAUGGGGGAAACCCUGACGCAGCAACGCCGCGUGGACGAUGAAGGCCUUUGGGUCGUAAAGUCCUGUCAGCAGGGAAAAACAAAAUGAUGGUACCUGCAGAGGAAGCUCCGGCUAACUUCGUGCCAGCCGCCGCAGUAAGAC